rnacentral:piRNA from 1 species
UAUUCUUUUUUUUCUCCCUUUUUUC